AGAUUGAACGCUAGCGGGAUGCUUUACACAUGCAAGUCGAACGGCAGCGCGGACUUCGGUCUGGCGGCGAGUGGCGAACGGGUGAGUAAUAUAUCGGAACGUGCCCAGUAGCGGGGGAUAACUACGCGAAAGCGUGGCUAAUACCGCAUACGCCCUACGGGGGAAAGGGGGGGAUCGCAAGACCUCGCGCGAUUGGAGCGGCCGAUAUCAGAUUAGCUAGUUGGUGGGGUAAAAGCCUACCAAGGCGACGAUCUGUAGCUGGUCUGAGAGGACGACCAGCCACACUGGAACUGAGACACGGUCCAGACUCCUACGGGAGGCAGCAGUGGGGAAUUUGGACAAUGGGCGCAAGCCUGAUCCAGCAAUGCCGCGUGCAGGAUGAAGGCCGUUGGUUGUAAACUGCUUUUGUACGGUAACGAAACGGUUCUCGUCUAAUACAGGGCUAAGUGACGGUACCGUAAG
rnacentral:rRNA from 1 species